rnacentral:sRNA from 1 species
GUGUUUUGUUAUAAAAAGAUAGAAAGCCAAAGACUCAUACGGACUUCAUCUACACCAUCAAAGCUUUGAGAAGCAAGAAGAGUC